GCUGGGCGUGGUGGCUCACGCCUGUAGUCCCAGCUACUCAGGAAGCUGAGGCAGGAGAAUCGCUUGAACCCAGGAGGCGGUGGUUGCAGUGAGCCGAGAUUGUGCCACUGCACUCCAGCCUGGGCAACAGAGAGAGACUCUGUCUCAA
rnacentral:SRP_RNA from 1 species